rnacentral:lncRNA from 1 species
AAUUUUAUAAAGACAAAAAAUAUAUUUAACUCAAAAUUAUAAGAUAUAAAAUCACAAUAAUUUAUUUAGAAGCACCCAACACAAAAGUGUGUAAAUUAAUAGGUGUCAUUAGCAACUCACAUAUGCAUAGGGAGGGGGUUGGAGCCCCUGCUUGCCCCGCGGGUCCGUCCCUGAAUAUAUACACAUAAAAUAUAAAUGUCAAUUAUCUUUAAAAGAAUCCAUGGGACCAGACAUUAGCAAGAUCCUUAGUUUAACACCCCGUUCUAAUGUUGAAGAAUUCUUCUUUUCGGUGAUGAUUUCCAUUGGCACAUGUUCACAAAAGUUUAUGCAAUAUAAUAAGAUUUGUCCCUUGGGUUUUCAAACAUUUCAUUUUGAGCAAUUAAUAAAGUAUGUCAUCUCAAUUUUGGGAAAAUUAAUUAAAUGCUCUUAAUCUCAUUUUUCACUUCCAAGAAUAUGUUCCCAUGAACUGGAUUUACCAUAUCCUAAGAUCUAGUUUACGAAAGUUCGUGAGGUUUUUGGGCCAAUAAAAAUAAGAAAGUCCAAAAAGAUAAUUUUUUUUUGGCUUAAAUACAGUUUUACUCCAUCUCUUUUGAUUAAAUCGGAAUUUUACUCCAUAUUUUAAAACGCGGACUUUUACCCCCCUGUUUUAUAAUUUUUUGGAUUUUACCCCCCUAAAAUUCUGCUUUCGAGUCACAACUUAAAAGCUUCCAACACAACUCAAUUUGGAUCAAUAAUUCACCAAACGUAUACUGAAAUGACCGUAACCGAGUUAUCUUUCCACAGAAUCAAACCCCACUAAAUUUGGAGUAACAAAGAGAGAUUAAUUACCGUUUUAGUGAAGAUAUGUCCCCCAAAUUCUGAACAAAAUCUGCUUUCGAGUCACAACUUCAAAAGUCAUUGCCUUGGUUCUGUGGUUAUUGUGCCAUGUGAUUGUGCUUAUCCCAUUUUAAUGGGCCUUCAUGUGUGUUAGGCUUUCGGAUGAUCUGGAACACUUUAUUUAAGUUAUUUAUGGUUUAUCCUCAUCUUCAAUAUGUUGAUUUUAGUUAUAUAUUUUGAAAAGGAACUUAAACUUCUUUUUCUAUUCAUUUUAAGAAAUAAAACAUUUUAAAAUCAAUCAACACAAUUCAACUCCUCCCUUCUCCCUCCCUCCUGAUAAAGAACUUAAUUUCGUUAUUUUAAAAAAGAAAGAAAUCAAAGAUUUUAAAAUCGAUCAGCACUAUUCAACCCUCACCCUCCACUUUGUUGUGUUUCCUCCGCUCACCUUCAUUUAUAUAUUUAUGGGGCUAGCUUAGUGUAACNNN